rnacentral:ncRNA from 1 species
GUAGUCCGCGCGGGAGAGUCCCAGUCACGCUCCGUGCGCUGGGCGCCGAAGGAGCAAGUUCCUCCCUUGAAUCUCUCAGGCCCCGUACCGCGCGGGCGAG